rnacentral:rRNA from 1 species
CCUACGGGAGGCAGCAGUGGGGAAUAUUGGACAAUGGGGGGAACCCUGAUCCAGCCAUGCCGCGUGUGUGAAGAAGGCCCUCGGGUUGUAAAGCACUUUCAGUGAGGAAGAACGCCUGGUGGUUAAUACCCAUCAGGAAAGACAUCACUCACAGAAGAAGCACCGGCUAACUCCGUGCCAGCAGCCGCGGUAAUACGGAGGGUGCGAGCGUUAAUCGGAAUUACUGGGCGUAAAGCGCGCGUAGGUGGCUUGAUAAGCCGGUUGUGAAAGCCCCGGGCUCAACCUGGGAACGGCAUCCGGAACUGUCAAGCUAGAGUGCAGGAGAGGAAGGUAGAAUUCCCGGUGUAGCGGUGAAAUGCGUAGAGAUCGGGAGGAAUACCAGUGGCGAAGGCGGCCUUCUGGACUGACACUGACACUGAGGUGCGAAAGCGUGGGUAGCAUACAGGAUUAGAUACCCCAGUAGUC